rnacentral:rRNA from 1 species
UGGGGAAUAUUGGACAAUGGGCGAAAGCCUGAUCCAGCCAUGCCGCGUGUGUGAAGAAGGCCUUUUGGUUGUAAAGCACUUUAAGCGAGGAGGAGGCUACUUAGAUUAAUACUCUAGGAUAGUGGACGUUACUCGCAGAAUAAGCACCGGCUAACUCCGUGCCAGCAGCCGCGGUAAUACAGAGGGGGCGAGCGUUAAUCGGAUUUACUGGGCGUAAAGCGUGCGUAGGCGGUUUUUUAAGUCGGAUGUGAGAUCCCUGGGCUUGACUUAGGACUUGCAUUCGAUACUGGGAAGCUAGAGUAGGGGAGAGGAUGGUGGAAUUCCAGGUGUAGCGGUGAAAUGCGUAGAGAUCAGGGGGAAUACCGAAGGCGAAGGCAGCCAUCUGGCCUAAUACUAACGCUGAGGUACGAAAGCAUGGGGAGCAAACAGG